GACGAACGCUGGCGGCGUGCCUAAUACAUGCAAGUCGAGCGAAUGGAUUAAGAGCUUGCUCCCUGACAUUAGCGGCGGACGGGUGAGUAACACGUGGGCAACCUGCCCUGCAGAUGGGGAUAACUCCGGGAAACCGGGGCUAAUACCGAAUAAUCAGUUCCUCCGCAUGGAGGAACUCUGAAAGACGGUUUCGGCUGUCACUGCAGGAUGGGCACGCGGCGCAUUAGCUAGUUGGGGGGGUAACGGCCUACCAAGGCGACGAGGCGUAGCCGGCCUGAGAGGGUGCUCGGUCACACUGGGACUGAGACACGGCCCAGACUCCUACGGGAGGCAGCAGUGGGGAAUAUUCCACAAUGGACGAAAGUCUGAUGGAGCAACGCCGCGUGAGCGAAGAAGGUUUUCGGAUCGUAAAGCUCUGUUGUGGGGGAGGAACAAGUACGGGAGUAACUGUCCGUACCUUGACGGUACCUCAUUAGAAAGCCACGGCUAACUACGUGCCAGCCGCCGCCGUAA
rnacentral:rRNA from 1 species